GCAAUGAGAGAGGGAGCUGAGUUGCAACACAUGUCAGGCUAAAAAGCCUUGUUUUCUGGUCCUUAUCCAUCUGGAUAACAGGAAGGUGAUCUAUAUACUGUAAGUCAAACGGGUCAAGAAACACAAGCUCAGUUUUAGUGAUGUCACCAUGACCCCGAAACUCAGCUAUUAACUUGGAAGCCCUGCAGCAGCUACUGGUGUGAUGGGAAGCUUCAUUCUCACCCGGCGCAGAGCUGAAGCGGAG